GUGCUCACUUUGGCAGCACAUAUAUUAAAAUUGGAACAAUACAGAGAAGAUUAGUUUGGCCCUUGUGCAAAUUCAUGAAACAUUCCAUAUUUUU
rnacentral:snRNA from 1 species